CGCGCGCGCGCCCGGAAUGUCAAACGGCUGCAAUAUAAAUCAGUCGGCCCACAGUUGGUUGUAAUAAUAAAGGACUUUUGGUCGUUUUGGUGAAAUUAUUAUUACGGCGCGCACUAAGUGGUGUCUGAAAUUCGGAAUGCCGAGAAUCCCGAACAUCCCGACAGUAUAACAAACGGCAAGUAGAGAAGAUCCAGAGCGCAUCAGUCCAUGUAUGGGUAUAACGCUCCGUAUUAUUAUUAUUAUUAUUAUUGUUAUUAUUGUUAUCAUUAUUAUACGCGGACUAUUGUUGAUUAGAGCAAUCCGUUUCGGGCGUCGUGUUUUCGGACACUGCUGAAAACGUUUGGUGAAA